rnacentral:rRNA from 1 species
GAUGAACGCUAGCGGGAGGCUUAACACAUGCAAGUCGAGGGGCAGCAUAGGGUAGCAAUACUCUGAUGGCGACCGGCAAACGGGUGAGUAACGCGUAUGUAACCUACCCUGUACAGGGGGAUAACCCGGAGAAAUUCGGACUAAUAUCCCAUAACAAUAUCCGGGGGCAUCUUUGGAUAUUUAAAGUUCCGGCGGUACGGGAUGGGCAUGCGUAACAUUAGCUAGUUGGUAAGGUAACGGCUUACCAAGGCUUUGAUGUUUAGGGGUCCUGAGAGGGUGGUCCCCCACACUGGUACUGAGACACGGACCAGACUCCUACGGGAGGCAGCAGUGAGGAAUAUUGGUCAAUGGGCGCAAGCCUGAACCAGCCAUCCCGCGUGCAGGAAGACGGCGCUAUGCGUUGUAAACUGCUUUUCCAGGGAGAGAAACUUGCGCACGUGUUGCGCAAUUGACGGUACCCUGGGAAUAAGCAUCGGCUAACUCCGUGCCAGCAGCCGCGGUAAAACGUAGCGU